UUCGCAAUGCCCGAAAGGGUGACGAAGCGACGCCGCGCGCGGGAAGAAGGCCUUCGGGUUGUAAACCGCUGUCGGGAGUUAAGAAAUGCAAGGGUGUUAACAGCAUCCUUGCUUGACUAAGGCUCCGGAGGAAGCCACGGCUAACUCUGUGCCAGCAGCCGCGGUAAUACAGAGGCGGCAAGCGUUGUUCGGAAUUAUUGGGCGUAAAGAGCACGUAGGCGGCUGUGUAAGUCGGUUGUGAAAGCCUUCCGCUCAACGGGAGAACGGCAUCCGAUACUGCAUGGCUUGAGUGCGGGAGGGGAGAGUGGAACUUCUGGUGGAGCGGUGAAAUGCGUAGAUAUCAGAAGGAACACCGGCGGCGAAGGCGACUCUCUGGCCCGUAACUGACGCUGAGUGUGCGAAAGCUAGGGGAGCAAACGGGAUUAGAUACCCCGGUAGUCCUAGCCGUAAACGAUGGGCACUAAGUAGAGGGGUUUU
rnacentral:rRNA from 1 species